UGGCUUAGAUGGUAAAGUGUCUGCCUGCAAUGCAGGAGACCCAGGUUCAAUCCCUGG
rnacentral:tRNA from 1 species